rnacentral:rRNA from 1 species
GAUGAACGCUGGCGGCGUGCCUAAUACAUGCAAGUCGAGCGAACAGACGAGGCGCUUGCUCCUCUGUCGUUAGCGGCGGACGGGUGAGUCACACGUGGAUACCCUACCUAUAAGACUGGGAUCACUUCGGGAAACCGGAGCUAAUACCGGAUAAUAUAUUGAACCGCAUGGUUCAUUAGUGAAAGACGGUUUUGCUGUCACUUAUCGAUGGAUCCGGGCUGCAUUAGCUAGUUGGUAAGGUAACGGCUUACCAAGGCAACGAUGCGUAGCCGACGUGAGAGGGUGAUAGCCCACACGGGAACUGAAACACGGACCAUAGGCCUGCGGGAGGCAGCAGUAGGGAAUCGGCCGCAGUAGGCGGGAGCAUGGCGGAGUAACGCCGCGUGAGUUAUAGAGGUGUUCGGUGCGGAAAACCCUGUUAUUAGGGAAGAACAAAUGUGGAAGGAACUAUGCACGGCUUGACGGUACCUAAUCAGAAAGCCACGGCUAACUACGUG